rnacentral:rRNA from 1 species
GACGAACGCUGGCGGCGUGCCUAAUACAUGCAAGUCGAGCGAAUCAAUAGGAGCUUGCUCCUGUUGGUUAGCGGCGGACGGGUGAGUAACACGUGGGCAACCUGCCUGUAAGACUGGGAUAACUUCGGGAAACCGGAGCUAAUACCGGAUAAUCCUUUUCCACUCAUGUGGGAAAGCUGAAAGUCGGUUUCGGCUGACACUUACAGAUGGGCCCGCGGCGCAUUAGCUAGUUGGUGAGGUAACGGCUCACCAAGGCGACGAUGCGUAGCCGACCUGAGAGGGUGAUCGGCCACACUGGGACUGAGACACGGCCCAGACUCCUACGGGAGGCAGCAGUAGGGAAUCUUCCGCAAUGGACGAAAGUCUGACGGAGCAACGCCGCGUGAGCGAUGAAGGCCUUCGGGUCGUAAAGCUCUGUUGUUAGGGAAGAAUAAGUAUCGGAGUAACUGCCGGUACCUUGACGGUACCUAACCAGAAAGCCACGGCUAACUACGUGCCAGCCGCCGCGGUAA